rnacentral:tRNA from 1 species
GAGGGUGUAGCUCAGUGGUAGAGCGCAUGCUUAGCAUGCACAAGGUCCUGGCUUCAAUCCCCAGUACCUCCA